AAGGGAAACGUAACUAAACAGCGGACUAGGGCUGGUCCGAAUACCAUUUUUUGAGCUUCGAAGCUUCGGUAGUAAUGAGCAUCGAAUAUUCGAAGCUUCGGAGAGAGGACAUAUUA